UUAAAGGAAUUGACGGGGACCCGCACAAGCGGUGGAUGAUGUGGAUUAAUUCGAUGCAACGCGAAGAACCUUACCUACCCUUGACAUGUCCGGAACUUGCCAGAGAUGGCUUGGUGCCCGAAAGGGAAUCGGAACACAGGUGCUGCAUGGCUGUCGUCAGCUCGUGUCGUGAGAUGUUGGGUUAAGUCCCGCAACGAGCGCAACCCUUAUCAUUAGUUGCUACGCAAGGGCACUCUAAUGAGACUGCCGGUGACAAACCGGAGGAAGGUGGGGAUGACGUCAAGUCCUCAUGGCCCUUAUGGGUAGGGCUUCACACGUCAUACAAUGGUCGGUACAGAGGGUUGCCAAGCCGCGAGGCGGAGCCAAUCCCACAAAGCCGAUCGUAGUCCGGAUCGUAGUCUGCAACUCGACUACGUGAAGUCGGAAUCGCUAGUAAUCGUGGAUCGGAAUGUCACGGUGAAUACGUUCCCGGGUCUU
rnacentral:rRNA from 1 species